AUACUCUGGUUUCUCUUCAGAUCAUAUAAAUCUUUUGCCUUUCAAUAAAGAUUUCCAUGGAGAGGAACGAUUAUGAGUUAUUAACAAAUUUUUUGAGGCCUCAUUGAAAUGAGACU